CGGUAAACAGAGGGAAGCGAGCCUGCGAGGGGGAGCGAAUCCCAAAAAUAACGUCCCAGUUCGGAUUGUAGUCUGCAACCCGACUACAUGAAGCUGGAAUCGCUAGUAAUCGCGGAUCAGAAUGCCGCGGUGAAUACGUUCCCGGGUCUUGUACACACCGCCCGUCACACCAUGGGAGUCGGAAAUGCCCGAAGUCUGUGACCCAACCUUAGGGAGGGAGCAGCCGAAGGCAGGUCGGAUGACUGGGGUGAAGUCGUAACAAGGUAAC
rnacentral:rRNA from 1 species